CACACAGGUAAUUUUAAGAAGAUUGAAUUUACUCUUUCUGAGUAAGUCUUGUCCAGUAAGUUUAGGAGGGAUUUGGACCCUUGGUCUGCUCUAACCCUUGGAGGAGCACAGCCUGUUUUCAAAGGGGAGCGAGUCCCUCCAGGUAUCUUGAGUGCAAACUGGGCUUCCAUGAGGCAAUGGCUAAUGCACUAUAAAUGCAGCCUCUGGCUCCCUGCAUACCAGCUUCUCUGUGUAGCCAAGCCUUGCAUUCUCUUGCCUGUAGACAGGGUAUUGUGUGGCGAAAAGAGGAGAGUACAAAGAAUCAAGUCAUAAUCAGUAUGCUUUUGUGAGCCCUGUGAAAUAGAGUGACAGCUACGAAGGAAAAGCAAGUAGAUUUUGAGUGUACAAUAUUUCAGGAGACAUUGGGAGCGGGUGUUUUUGCAAUAUUCUAUUAUGUCUCCUCUUUAGAGAGGUUGAGCCAGUGCCAAAGGAAUAGUUUUCCAAUGUGCUAUUUGUUCACAGGAUGGAUAGGGGCUGACAAGCUGACCAUCAGAACAGCUUCUUUGUCCUUGGAGCUCCAGGUGGUUUAACAGUGCAGAGAAGCUACAAGUUUUUUACCAAAAUGACUGUUCAUUCCUUUUUAGAUGACUUUUCAGCUCUGUCCAGCUUAUUUUCAAGGACUUUUAAAAGAAAAAUCAAAAUUAAGCAGUGUAGUUUAGGAGGGUGGUGGGGAGGUGAGGGUGAGGUGCUGGGUAUACACAUGAUGUGCAAAACAUCUCUCUUGCCUUUUCUAGAAAUACAUUCAUCCACAGAAGGUUCAGACAGAAGUAUCAGUAUUCAUGCUACAUAAGAUCUCAAGUACCACAGUGACACCUGGAAGCACUGGUGCACUUCCCUGAGUAGCUAAGUCAUUAACAGCAUCCUCUGGAGUUCUUAUGGAUACAUCUGCACUAAAGAUGGCCCAUGGACUAGUAGUGUCUUCUGCAGAACUGAGAACCACCAACAUGGCACAUUUGGCUCAGCAGAGCUGCACUUCUCCUUUAACCAGCACCAGAACACCCCUCAGUGCCCAGAGAGGCCUUGUGAUGGCCAUUCCAUUGCCAGGGAAAUUCCCAACUGUUGCAGGGUCAAGACUCUUUUCACCAUGCUGUGGGGUUGGCAGGCAUGUUUCAGGUGCUGCCCUGUGCGCUGUGGUCCUUGCUGCUCAGGAACAGUCACACUCUGAGGAAAAUGAAGACUGACCAGCUCCCCUGACUCUUGUCUUCUAUGAUUUAUGGCAAUGGUGCCUGCUGUAGACCAUACCCCAGAUCUGCUCCUAACCCACCCUGGAA
rnacentral:lncRNA from 1 species